GGGAAAGACAAGAAGAUCUUUUUCAUGACUGCCAGGAAUGUGAGGAUUACACAGACAAUAUGAUGAAGGUGAUCGUGAUCCACAACAUCAUGGCUGAGGAGGAUCCAUCAGAUGUGUCCAUUGUGAUUGAGGGAAACCAAGUGGUGGAGGGAUGUGGAAGCCGAACAAAGGCAUGUGUACUGCUGAUGGGACUGAUAUAUGCCCUCAACCUCGAAUAUCCAAAGGAGCUGAAGAACAGAUUUGACACUUUUCAAAAACUGUUUUUGGAACUUGGAGGGGCGAAACUACUGAACAAGGUCCACGGCCUCAAAAAUGAGCUUAUGCAAUGCACACACAUUUCCCCUCUUGUUCCCAGAUGUUUGAUAACGUUCAUGCACAGAAACAACCUUGUAGAGUUUCUGUGCUCUUGGCUUUUAAAAUGGACUAAGUCGCCUUUGAAAGUGUUGUCUGCAUUAGCUGUUGUGUUGCACUUUAUUCUGUGUUUUUAUGGAAUAAAAACAUUGAGAUAAUGAA